GGCACUUGCUCUACAGCAUUGGAGACCACUUAGAAGAAUGUCAACUCCAUCUUAACAAUGGAAACAAGACAACUGAGUAAAAGAAGGUACUAGUCACAGGUGCUACAGACAUUCAGCUGUUACUUCAGAGAAUCCAGGUACCACAUGGUGCCUUGUCAGUGUAGUAUUGUUGGUGAGAAGAGGAGAGAAAUGAAAAAAAAAAAGAGACACAGGCGCAGUGGUGCAUACCUGUAUUCCCAG